UACGGGGGGAGCAAGCGUUGUUCGGAUUUACUGGGCGUAAAGGGCGCGUAGGCGGUCGUGACAAGUCACUUGUGAAAUCUCCGGGCUUAACUCGGAACGGUCAAGUGAUACUGUCGGACUAGAGGUACAGAAGGGGCAACUGGAAUUCUCUGGUGUAGCGGUGAAAUGCGUAGAUAGUCGAGAGGAACACCUGCGGCGAAGGCGGGUUGCUGGGCGUGA
rnacentral:rRNA from 1 species